CCCGAUCCCUGAUCCCCUCUCCCAAACUCCAUCACUCUCUUUCCCUCUCUCUAUCUCAGGGCAAUGAGAUCCCAGCACAGGGGGGGGGGUCGCCAGCCGUCCCCUAGCAUAGAGCUAAUGGAUUCGGCCCAGUGGUUGGGCUCACAUGGCUCCCGUGCUCCGCCCUGUGCCGAUUGCCUGAUUCGUGCUUGUUCUACUCAAAUCUUGCACUCCCUUCAAACUAGGCAAGGCAUGAGGAGGGGGAGAAGGGUGGGGAGAAGCACCUGCGAAAGUCAUCAUAGAUAGGCGGCGAAAGGAGGCCAGUUCAGUCUCCUCCAUCCCAAAUCAAUUAACUUGGUAAUCGUGUUAGCAUUUUGCUGGAUCUGGUGGAGCAAAGAUGAAUAGAGCUGGUGGUCACCUGAGGAAAAGCAAUGAGAAGACGCAAAAGGUGGGGCACCAAGGUGAGCGUAGCAAGGAUUUGCUAUAUCAUGGUGCUUUUUUUAUGUGUGUGUGGUUCAUCUAAUGAGUUUUGUAUGGUUGUUUUUGGUCAUGACAGGUGAUUUUGAUUGCAUAUUUUUAAAUUUUCUUAGGGUUUGGGUUGAGAUGGGAGAAAGGUGAGAGACCUACAUAUGUUCAUUUUACUGAUGUGAUUGUGAUGCUUGUUUUCGCAUGCAAUGGAGGUGUGGUGUUUUGAUUCCAAUGUGAAAUUGCAGGAUAGGUUGGAUCCUUACAAAAAGGAGAUCAAAGCUCCAGUGAUUGUACGCGAAGAGCAGAGUAGAGAUGCGGUGGACAAGCUGCUACUGUUGCAAUUAUUGUCUCUUUUCAUUGUCGUUGUUGCUGCGCUGUAGCCUUCACUAAAACAGAGAUGGCCAAAUUUAUCAAGGAGGUCUUAUGAAACAAAUCCAGUGAUCAAUUAGAUAAACUGUUUGGGAGAGAUACCUCCCGAGAAAGACACCCUUUGGGGAGGGAUGUAAGCGACAUGAAUUUGUCCCUUCGUUCUAUAUAAGUCUUUACAUAUGCGCAAUAAAAAAAACAACUUUCUACAGUCUUUACAUCAAUUCUCAAGCUGUAGAUAGAGGAAUCGAUUUGCAUUUCAGAUCAUCUUUAAUUAGUAUAUCCGCGUCAUACACGCACGUGUUGGGAAUUUUGAUGAUACUGCGGCACAUGUACAUGUUAGAGUUCUCCCACACAAGCAUAUAUACAAGUGUUCUAGAGCGACGUGGAGCAAGCCGUAUGGUGAAUUAUUUUUUGGAUCUGUGCUUUCUGUUCAUACACGUCGCAUGUUUCGGUUG